GGACUCCUACGGGAGGCAGCAGUGGGGAAUAUUGCACAAUGGGCGCAAGCCUGAUGCAGCCAUGCCGCGUGUAUGAAGAAGGCCUUCGGGUUGUAAAGUACUUUCAGCAGUGAGGAAGGUGGGUAUGUUAAUAGCAUAUUCAUUUGACGUUAGCUGCAGAAGAAGCACCGGCUAACUCCGUGCCAGCAGCCGCGGUAAUACGGAGGGUGCGAGCGUUAAUCGGAAUUACUGGGCGUAAAGCGCAUGCAGGUGGUUUGUUAAGUCAGAUGUGAAAGCCCGGGGCUCAACCUCGGAAUUGCAUUUGAAACUGGCAAACUAGAGUACUGUAGAGGGGGUAGAAUUUCAGGUGUAGCGGUGAAAUGCGUAGAGAUCUGAAGGAAUACCGGUGGCGAAGGCGGCCCCCUGGACAGAUACUGACACUCAGAUGCGAAAGCGUGGGGAGCAAACAGGAUUAGAUACCCUGGUAG
rnacentral:rRNA from 1 species